rnacentral:tRNA from 1 species
CAAGCGACGGGCGGAGGCGGGCCGCGGCGUUGCCGACGUCGCCUUCGUCCCGUUCGAGGCGGACUUGCUCGCC